rnacentral:sRNA from 1 species
CCCAUUUGUGAACACUACCCCAUUGCCGCGCGUUGCCUCGGCGGUGAGGUCCGCGGGGGGGAUGGGCUGCGCUCCGGCGCUUGCCCCCCCCUCCCCGGGCCCCCGCCGGCCGCGCCUUACUCUUAAUUUGCAAAGCGGACUGUACGAUCUGAUUAAUCUUGAUAAACAAGUCAAAACUUUCAACAACGGAUCUCUUGGUUCUGGCAUCGAUGAAGAACGCAGCGAAAUGCGAUAAGUAAUGUGAAUUGCAGAAUUCAGUGAAUCAUCGAAUCUUUGAACGCACAUUGCGCCCGGCAGCAAUCUGCCGGGCAUGCCUGUCCGAGCGUCAUUUCUCCCCUCGAGCGCGGUUGGCCCCUAGCGGGCCGGCCGCCGCCCGGUGUUGGGGCACUGCGGGCCACAGCGCCCGCAGGCCCUUAAAUGAAGUGGCGGUCCCGCCGCGGCGCCCCCUGCGUAGUAGUAAAGCACCUCGCAUCGGGUCCCGGCGAAGACCAGCCGUCGAACCUAUCUCUAGAUGGUUUGACCUCGGACCAGGU